GCAUUGCGGGUGCUAUACAUGCAGUCGAGCGGACAGAUGGGAGCUUGCUCCCUGAUGUUAGCGGCGGACGGGUGAGUAACACGUGGGUAACCUGCCUGUAAGACUGGGAUAACUCCGGGAAACCGGGGCUAAUACCGGAUGCUUGAUUGAACCGCAUGGUUCAAUUAUAAAAGGUGGCUUUUAGCUACCACUUACAGAUGGACCCGCGGCGCAUUAGCUAGUUGGUGAGGUAACGGCUCACCAAGGCAACGAUGCGUAGCCGACCUGAGAGGGUGAUCGGCCACACUGGGACUGAGACACGGCCCAGACUCCUACGGGAGGCAGCAGUAGGGAAUCUUCCGCAAUGGACGAAAGUCUGACGGAGCAACGCCGCGUGAGUGAUGAAGGUUUUCGGAUCGUAAAACUCUGUUGUUAGGGAAGAACAAGUACCGUUCGAAUAGGGCGGUACCUUGACGGUACCUAACCAGAAAGCCACGGCUAACUACGUGCCAGCAGCCGCGGUAAUACGUAGGUGGCAAGCGUUGUCCGGAAUUAUUGGGCGUAAAGCGCGCGCAGGCGGUUUCUUAAGUCUGAUGUGAAAGCCCCCGGCUCAACCGGGGAGGGUCAUUGGAAACUGGGGAACUUGAGUGCAGAAGAGGAGAGUGGAAUUCCACGUGUAGCGGUGAAAUGCGUAGAGAUGUGGAGGAACACCAGUGGCGAAGGCGACUCUCUGGUCUGUAACUGACGCUGAGGCGCGAAAGCGUGGGGAGCGAACAGGAUUAGAUACCCUGGUAGUCCACGCCGUAAACGAUGAGUGCUAAGUGUUAGAGGGUUUCCGCCCUUUAGUGCUGCAGCAAACGCAUUAAGCACUCCGCCUGGGGAGUACGGUCGCAAGACUGAAACUCAAAGGAAUUGACGGGGGCCCGCACAAGCGGUGGAGCAUGUGGUUUUAUUCGAAGCACGUCGAAGAACCUUUACCAGGUCUUGACAUCCUCUGACAACCCUAGAGAUAGGUCUUCCCUUCGGGAGCAGAGUGACAGGUGGUGCAUGUUUGUCGA
rnacentral:rRNA from 1 species